rnacentral:rRNA from 1 species
UAGUGGCGAACGGGUGAGUAACACGUGGGCAAUCUGCCCUUCACUCUGGGACAAGCCCUGGAAACGGGGUCUAAUACCGGAUACCACUCUCUUCCGCAUGGGAGAGGGUUGAAAGCUCCGGCGGUGAAGGAUGAGCCCGCGGCCUAUCAGCUUGUUGGUGGGGUGAUGGCCCACCAAGGCGACGACGGGUAGCCGGCCUGAGAGGGCGACCGGCCACACUGGGACUGAGACACGGCCCAGACUCCUACGGGAGGCAGCAGUGGGGAAUAUUGCACAAUGGGCGAAAGCCUGAUGCAGCGACGCCGCGUGAGGGAUGACGGCCUUCGGGUUGUAAACCUCUUUCAGCAGGGAAGAAGCGAAAGUGACGGUACCUGCAGAAGAAGCGCCGGCUAACUACGUGCCAGCAGCCGCGGUAAUACGUAGGGCGCAAGCGUUGUCCGGAAUUAUUGGGCGUAAAGAGCUCGUAGGCGGCUUGUCACGUCGGAUGUGAAAGCCCGGGGCUUAACCCCGGGUCUGCAUUCGAUACGGGCAGGCUAGAGUGUGGUAGGGGAGAUCGGAAUUCCUGGUGUAGCGGUGAAAUGCGCAGAUAUCAGGAGGAACACCGGUGGCGAAGGCGGAUCUCUGGGCCAUUACUGACGCUGAGGAGCGAAAGCGUGGGGAGCGAACAGGAUUAGAUACCCUGGUAGUCCACGCCGUAAACGUUGGGGAACUAGGUGUUGGGCGACAUUCCACGU